GUAACACGUGGGUGAUCUGCCCUGCACUUCGGGAUAAGCUUGGGAAACUGGGUCUAAUACCGGAUAGGAGCCAUCUUUAGUGUGGUGGUUGGAAAGUUUUUCGGUGUAGGAUGAGCUCGCGGCCUAUCAGCUUGUUGGUGGGGUAAUGGCCUACCAAGGCGGCGACGGGUAGCCGGCCUGAGAGGGUGUACGGCCACAUUGGGACUGAGAUACGGCCCAG
rnacentral:rRNA from 1 species